rnacentral:rRNA from 1 species
UACGAAGGGGGCUAGCGUUGCUCGGAAUCACUGGGCGUAAAGCGCACGUAGGCGGCUUUUUAAGUCAGGGGUGAAAUCCUGGAGCUCAACUCCAGAACUGCCUUUGAUACUGAGAAGCUUGAGUCCGGGAGAGGUGAGUGGAACUGCGAGUGUAGAGGUGAAAUUCGUAGAUAUUCGCAAGAACACCAGUGGCGAAGGCGGCUCACUGGCCGGUACUGACGCUGAGGUGCGAAAGCGUGGGAGCGAACGGG